UAAAGGUGGCUUUUGGGCUGUCGCAGAUGGAUGAGCCUGCGUUGGAUUAGCUAGUUGGUGAGGUAAGGGCCUACCAAGGCUACGAUCCAUAGCUGAUUUGAGAGGAUGAUCAGCCACAUUGGGACUGAGACACGGCCCAAACUCCUACGGGAGGCAGCAGUGAGGAAUAUUGGACAAUGGGGGCAACCCUGAUCCAGCAAUGCCAUGUGUGUGAAGAAGGCCUUAGGGUUGUAAAGCACUUUAGUUGGGGAAGAAAGCUUUGAGGUUAAUAGCCUUGAGGAAAAGGACGUUACCCAAAGAAUAAGCACCGGCUAACUCCGUGCCAGCAGCCGCGGUAAUACGGGGGGUGCAAGCGUUAAUCGGAAUUACUGGGCGUAAAGGGUCUGUAGGUGGUUUGUUAAGUCAGAUGUGAAAGCCUAGGGCUCAACCUUGGAACUGCAUUUGAUACUGGUAAACUAGAGUACGGUAGAGGAAUGGGGAAUUUCUGGUGUAGCGGUGAAAUGCGUAGAGAUCAGAAGGAACACCAAUGGCGAAGGCAACAUUCUGGACCGAUACUGACACUGAGGGACGAAAGCGUGGGGAUCAAACAGGAUUAGAUACCCUGGUAGUCCACGCUGUAAACGAUGAGUACUAGCUGUUGGAGUCGGUGUAAAGGCUCUAGUGGCGCAGCUAACGCGAUAAGUACUCCGCCUGGGGACUACGGCCGCAAGGCUAAAACUCAAAGGAAUUGACGGGGACCCGCACAAGCGGUGGAGCAUGUGGUUUAAUUCGAUGCAACGCGAAGAACCUUACCUGGUCUUGACAUCCUGCGAUCUUUCUAGAGAUAGAUUGGUGCCUUCGGGAACGCAGUGACAGGUGCUGCACGGCUGUCGUCAGCUCGUGUUGUGAAAUGUUGGGUUAAGUCCCGCAACGAGCGC
rnacentral:rRNA from 1 species